GUAGUCCACGCCGUAAACGUUGGGAACUAGAUGUGGGGGCCAUUCCACGGUCUCCGUGUCGCAGCUAACGCAUUAAGUUCCCCGCCUGGGGAGUACGGCCGCAAGGCUAAAACUCAAAGGAAUUGACGGGGGCCCGCACAAGCGGCGGAGCAUGCGGAUUAAUUCGAUGCAACGCGAAGAACCUUACCAAGGCUUGACAUAUACCGGAAACGGCCAGAGAUGGUCGCCCCGCAAGGUCGGUAUACAGGUGGUGCAUGGUUGUCGUCAGCUCGUGUCGUGAGAUGUUGGGUUAAGUCCCGCAACGAGCGCAACCCUCGUUCUAUGUUGCCAGCACGUUAUGGUGGGAACUC
rnacentral:rRNA from 1 species